CACAAAAUCAUGGCAUCGAUAUUGCGGACCAGCAAAUUUCUGCGCUAUUUCGCCGGAUUCGCGCGGAACGUAAUUUUCAACACAGUCCGGGAGACGGAACGAAGUUUAUUCAGCAAUCGCAUUCUUCUGUGAGCGGUUAUGCUACAUCUGCCGCUAGUUCCAGUCAGGGACUAGACCGAUCUUUGAAGCGGCUGGAUGAAGAUGUAAGACGCUCUGGAAGAAUUUUACGCCGAGAUCUGAAAGAUGUUCCGGAGGAAAUCCGUAUUAACCGUUCCGCUUCCAGCGCUCAAUCUUGACUGGUUAUUCGUUGUUGCGGUCACCUAGUUCCAGAAGACCUUCCCGAGGUGCGUGCAGCUCUGGUUCAGGAGUAAUGGAAAACAUUGAACAGCUUGAACGCAGCAAUGGACAUUUCCCACUACAACGCCCUUCUUCGGGUGUAUAUAGAUAAUGAGCAACGGAAUUUCUGGCGGAUUUGCAGGCCAAGGGCGUUGAACCGAAUCGGGUCACCUAUCAGCGAUUUAUUUCGCGCUACUGC